UACGUAGGGUGCGAGCGUUAAUCGGAAUUACUGGGCGUAAAGCGUGCGCAGGCGGUUGGUUAAGUCUGAUGUGAAAGCCCCCGAGCUCAACUUGGGAAUGGCAUUGGAAACUGGCUGGCUAGAGUGUGGCAGAGGGGGGGUGGAAUUCCGCGUGUAGCAGUGAAAAUGCGUAGAGAUGCGGAGGAACACCGAUGGCGAAGGCAGCCCCCCUGGGCUGACACUGACGCUCAGGCACGAAAGCGUGGGGGAGCAAACAAGG
rnacentral:rRNA from 1 species